GAUGAACGCUGGCGGCGUGCCUAAUACAUGCAAGUCGAGCGAACGGACGAGAAGCUUUCUUCUCUGAUGUUAGCGGCGGACGUGUGAGUAACACGUGUAUAACCUACCUAUAAAACUGGGAUAACUUCGUGUAACCGUAGCUAAUACCGUAUAAUAUUUUGAACCGCAUGGUUCAAAAGUGAAAUUCGCUCUUGCUCUCUCUUAUAGAUGGAUCCGCGCUGCAUUAGCUAGUUGGUAAGGUAACGGCUUACCAAGGCAACGAUGCAUAGCCGACCUGAGAGGGUGAUCGGCCACACUGGAACUGAGACACGGUCCAGACUCCUACGGGAGGCAGCAGUAGGGAAUCUUCCGCAAUGGGCGAAAGCCUGACGGAGCAACGCCGCGUGAGUGAUGAAGGUCUUCGGAUCGUAAAACUCUGUUAGUAGGGAAGAAAAUAUGUGUAAGUAAAUGUGCACAUCUUGACGGUACCUAAACAGAAAGCAACGGCUAACUACGUG
rnacentral:rRNA from 1 species